rnacentral:rRNA from 1 species
GUGGGGAAUAUUGCGCAAUGGGGGAAACCCUGACGCAGCGACGCCGCGUGAGCGAAGAAGGCCUUAGGGUUGUAAAGCUCUGUUUUAAGGGACGAAUGUCGUGGGGAGUAAUAUGCUCUGCGAAUGACGGUACCUUAAGAGGAAGCCCCGGCUAACUACGUGCCAGCAGCCGCGGUAAGACGUAGGGGGCGAGCGUUGUCCGGAAUUACUGGGCGUAAAGAGCACGUAGGCGGGAACUUAAGUCAGGUGUGAAAGACCGGGGCUCAACUCCGGGGUUGCACUUGAAACUGGGGUUCUUGAGGGCAGGAGAGGAAAGCAGAAUUCCUGGUGUAGCGGUGAAAUGCGUAGAAAUCAGGAGGAAUACCAGUGGCGAAGGCGGCUUUCUGGACUGACCCUGACGCUGAGGUGCGAAAGCGUGGGUAGCAAACAGGAUUAGAAACCCGUGUAGUCC